CCAAAACUGAACCCAUCUCUUUCUGGAAGGACCCCUGUGACUGGCCCUGUACUUCCAGGUUCCAUCUGUGUCCUGACAUUGUCUGGGCUCGACAAUAGGGCAGCAACUGGAUGCUUGAGUGGCCUUGGUGCAGGAAUCUGCUAGAUGCCUGUGGACCCCACAGGUUCCUGUCAACAUUGAAAACUCUUGCAAGGGACCACAUUCUCGUUAGGUUAUCCUCGUUAUCAGUUUCUUACGGCUGUGAUGUUCUGCUGUGGUGAUGAUCAUCGUUAUCAAUCUUACACCUGAGUGGGACAGUCUGCCAAGGGACCUGAAGAUACCUGGGACUCACACCUCCCACACUCUUGCCUCCUCAAUGCCUGGAAAUCUCUGAGUUAGAAAAAGUAAUUUUAGCACGCCCUCAGGUGGCCAAAUGGAAUACUGCAGCAAUGUCUUUGGAUGAAGGUUGGCGCUGUGGACAAACAUCUCGGAACAGGCAUUAGUGCUUGGC